rnacentral:rRNA from 1 species
CGGGACACGUGGUAUCCUGUCUGAAUAUGGGGGGACCAUCCUCCAAGGCUAAAUACUCCUGACUGACCGAUAGUGAACCAGUACCGUGAGGGAAAGGCGAAAAGAACCCCGGCGAGGGGAGUGAAAAAGAACCUGAAACCGUGUACGUACAAGCAGUGGGAGCACGCUUAGGCGUGUGACUGCGUACCUUUUGUAUAAUGGGUCAGCGACUUAUAUUCUGUAGCAAGGUUAACCGAAUAGGGGAGCCGAAGGGAAACCGAGUCUUAACUGGGCGUUAAGUUGCAGGGUAUAGACCCGAAACCCGGUGAUCUAGCCAUGGGCAGGUUGAAGGUUGGGUAACACUAACUGGAGGACCGAACCGACUAAUGUUGAAAAAUUAGCGGAUGACUUGUGGCUGGGGGUGAAAGGCCAAUCAAACCGGGAGAUAGCUGGUUCUCCCCGAAAGCUAUUUAGGUAGCGCCUCGUGAAUUCAUCUCCGGGGGUAGAGCACUGUUUCGGCAAGGGGGUCAUCCCGACUUACCAACCCGAUGCAAACUGCGAAUACCGGAGAAUGUUAUCACGGGAGACACACGGCGGGUGCUAACGUCCGUCGUGAAGAGGGAAACAACCCAGACCGCCAGCUAAGGUCCCAAAGUCAUGGUUAAGUGGGAAACGAUGUGGGAAGGCCCAGACAGCCAGGAUGUUGGCUUAGAAGCAGCCAUCAUUUAAAGAAAGCGUAAUAGCUCACUGGUCGAGUCGGCCUGCGCGGAAGAUGUAACGGGGCUAAACCAUGCACCGAAGCUGCGGCAGCGACACUGUGUGUUGUUGGGUAGGGGAGCGUUCUGUAAGCCUGCGAAGGUGUGCUGUGAGGCAUGCUGGAGGUAUCAGAAGUGCGAAUGCUGACAUAAGUAACGAUAAAGCGGGUGAAAAGCCCGCUCGCCGGAAGACCAAGGGUUCCUGUCCAACGUUAAUCGGGGCAGGGUGAGUCGACCCCUAAGGCGAGGCCGAAAGGCGUAGUCGAUGGGAAACAGGUUAAUAUUCCUGUACUUGGUGUUACUGCGAAGGGGGGACGGAGAAGGCUAUGUUGGCCGGGCGACGGUUGUCCCGGUUUAAGCGUGUAGGCUGGUUUUCCAGGCAAAUCCGGAAAAUCAAGGCUGAGGCGUGAUGACGAGGCACUACGGUGCUGAAGCAACAAAUGCCCUGCUUCCAGGAAAAGCCUCUAAGCAUCAGGUAACAUCAAAUCGUACCCCAAACCGACACAGGUGGUCAGGUAGAGAAUACCAAGGCGCUUGAGAGAACUCGGGUGAAGGAACUAGGCAAAAUGGUGCCGUAACUUCGGGAGAAGGCACGCUGAUAUGUAGGUGAAGUCCCUCGCGGAUGGAGCUGAAAUCAGUCGAAGAUACCAGCUGGCUGCAACUGUUUAUUAAAAACACAGCACUGUGCAAACACGAAAGUGGACGUAUACGGUGUGACGCCUGCCCGGUGCCGGAAGGUUAAUUGAUGGGGUCAGCGCAAGCGAAGCUCUUGAUCGAAGCCCCGGUAAACGGCGGCCGUAACUAUAACGGUCCUAAGGUAGCGAAAUUCCUUGUCGGGUAAGUUCCGACCUGCACGAAUGGCGUAAUGAUGGCCAGGCUGUCUCCACCCGAGACUCAGUGAAAUUGAACUCGCUGUGAAGAUGCAGUGUACCCGCGGCAAGACGGAAAGACCCCGUGAACCUUUACUAUAGCUUGACACUGAACAUUGAGCCUUGAUGUGUAGGAUAGGUGGGAGGCUUUGAAGUGUGGACGCCAGUCUGCAUGGAGCCGACCUUGAAAUACCACCCUUUAAUGUUUGAUGUUCUAACGUUGACCCGUGAUCCGGGUUGCGGACAGUGUCUGGUGGGUAGUUUGACUGGGGCGGUCUCCUCCUAAAGAGUAACGGAGGAGCACGAAGGUUGGCUAAUCCUGGUCGGACAUCAGGAGGUUAGUGCAAUGGCAUAAGCCAGCUUGACUGCGAGCGUGACGGCGCGAGCAGGUGCGAAAGCAGGUCAUAGUGAUCCGGUGGUUCUGAAUGGAAGGGCCAUCGCUCAACGGAUAAAAGGUACUCCGGGGAUAACAGGCUGAUACCGCCCAAGAGUUCAUAUCGACGGCGGUGUUUGGCACCUCGAUGUCGGCUCAUCACAUCCUGGGGCUGAAGUAGGUCCCAAGGGUAUGGCUGUUCGCCAUUUAAAGUGGUACGCGAGCUGGGUUUAGAACGUCGUGAGACAGUUCGGUCCCUAUCUGCCGUGGGCGCUGGAGAACUGAGGGGGGCUGCUCCUAGUACGAGAGGACCGGAGUGGACGCAUCACUGGUGUUCGGGUUGUCAUGCCAAUGGCACUGCCCGGUAGCUAAAUGCGGAAGAGAUAAGUGCUGAAAGCAUCUAAGCACGAAACUUGCCCCGAGAUGAGUUCUCCCUGACUCCUUGAGAGUCCUGAAGGAACGUUGAAGACGACGACGUUGAUAGGCCGGGUGUGUAAGCGCAGCGAUGCGUUGAGCUAACCGGUACUAAUGAACCGUGAGG